GACGAACGCUGGCGGCGUGCUUAACACAUGCAAGUCGAACGGAAAGGCCCUGCUUGCAGGGUACUCGAGUGGCGAACGGGUGAGUAACACGUGGGUGAUCUGCCCUGCACUUCGGGAUAAGCCUGGGAAACUGGGUCUAAUACCGGAUAGGAGCCAUUUUUAGUGUGAUGGUUGGAAAGUUUUUUCGGUGUAGGAUGAGCUCGCGGCCUAUCAGCUUGUUGGUGGGGUAAUGGCCUACCAAGGCGGCGACGGGUAGCCGGCCUGAGAGGGUGGACGGCCACAGUGGGACUGAGAUACGGCCCAGACUCCGACGGGAGGCAGCAGUGGGGAAUAUUGCACAAUGGGCGCAAGCCUGAUGCAGCGACGCCGCGUGGGGGAUGACGGCCUUCGGGUUGUAAACUCCUUUCGCUAGGGACGAAGCUUUUUGUGACGGUACCUAGAUAAGAAGCACCGGCUAACUACGUG
rnacentral:rRNA from 1 species